GAUGAACGCUGGCGGCGUGCCUAAUACAUGCAAGUCGAGCGAACAGACGAGGAGCUUGCUCCUUUGACGUUAGCGGCGGACGGGUGAGUAACACGUGGGUAACCUACCUAUAAGACUGGGAUAACUUCGGGAAACCGGAGCUAAUACCGGAUAAUAUUUCGAACCGCAUGGUUCGAUAGUGAAAGAUGGCUUUGCUAUCACUUAUAGAUGGACCUGCGCCGUAUUAGCUAGUUGGUAAGGUACGGCUUACCAAGGCAACGAUACGUAGCCGACCUGAGAGGGUGAUCGGCCACACUGGAACUGAGACACGGUCCAGACUCCUACGGGAGGCAGCAGUAGGGAAUCUUCCGCAAUGGGCGAAAGCCUGACGGAGCAACGCCGCGUGAGUGAUGAAGGUCUUCGGAUCGUAAAACUCUGUUAUUAGGGAAGAACAAACGUGUAAGUAACUGUGCACGUCUUGACGGUACCUAAUCAGAAAGCCACGGCUAACUACGUG
rnacentral:rRNA from 1 species